GAUGAACGCUGGCGGCGUGCCUAAUACAUGCAAGUCGAGCGAACGGACGAGAAGCUUGCUUCUCUGAUGUUAGCGGCGGACGGGCGAGUAAUACGUGGAUAACCUACCUAUAAAACUUGGAUAACUUCGGGAAACCGGAGCUAAUACCGGAUAAUAUUUUGAACCGCAUUGUUCAAAAGUGAAAGACGGUCUUGCUGUCACUUAUAGAUGGAUCCGCGCUGCAUUAGCUAGUUGGUAAGGUAACGGCUUACCAAGGCAACGAUGCAUAGCCGACCUGAGAGGGUGAUCAGCCACACUGGAGCUGAGACACGGUCCAGACUGCAACGGGAGGCAGCAGUAGGGAAUCUUCCGCAAGGGGCGAAAGCCUGACGGAGCAACGCCGCGUGAGUGAUGAAGGUCUUCGGAUCGUAAAACUCUGUUAUUAGGGAAGAACAUAUGUGUAAGUAACUGUGCACAUCUUGACGGUACCUAAUCAGAAAGCCACGGCUAACUACGUG
rnacentral:rRNA from 1 species